GGGCCCGCACAAGCGGCGGAGCAUGCGGAUUAAUUCGAUGCAACGCGAAGAACCUUACCUGGGUUUGACAUACACCGGAAAGCUGCAGAGAUGUAGCCCCUUUUUGUCGGUGUACAGGUGGUGCAUGGCUGUCGUCAGCUCGUGUCGUGAGAUGUUGGGUUAAGUCCCGCAACGAGCGCAACCCUCGUCCUAUGUUGCCAGCACGUGAUGGUGGGGACUCAUAGGAGACUGCCGGGGUCAACUCGGAGGAAGGUGGGGAUGACGUCAAGUCAUCAUGCCCCUUAUGUCCAGGGCUUCACGCAUGCUACAAUGGCCGGUACAAAGGGCUGCGAUCCCGUGAGGGGGAGCGAAUCCCAAAAAGCCGGUCUCAGUUCGGAUUGGGGUCUGCAACUCGACCCCAUGAAGUCGGAGUCGCUAGUAAUCG
rnacentral:rRNA from 1 species